CCGCUGCCCGAGUCCCUCUUGAAAUGGGCAGGGCAGGGAGGGCGUGGGUACCAGCGCAGGUGCUGGGGCUCAUUUCUUAGGCCUGUGUCAUGGCUAUGACCCUUGGCCGGCUGGGGUGGGGGCUGUAUCUAUGACGCCACCAAGGCCGUGAGUGUCCCUGGGGUGCCUUGGAAUAGGAGGUGGAAACAGGCCCGACAAGAGCUGGCUGUGGGGGAAGAGCAAUGGUGUGUGGAGGUGGGGAAGGCCCUAUCUAGGGACAAGCAGAAAACUUAGGGUGGGCAGAUCCCCCCGACCCCUGUGCAGGGGCUGCCAGAGACCAGAGAGGCUGCUGUGUGACCUGGACCAAGCCCCUUGCCCUCUCAUGCUUCCGUUUCGCCUUCUCUCCACGGAGGGAUUGAGCAGGACAUGGAGGGCCCCUUCCAGUAGCCAUUCUGGGACUCCCUGCACCUGUCCCCAGGGGAGGGUCCUGAGCUGGCUUCCACGUGGCUGCUGUUCCCCAUAGUGGAACCUUGUGUGUGGAGACGGCUGGAAGGUCCCGCUGGAGCAGGGUUCAGCUAGACCUGGUGCUGCCAGGAUGAAGGUUGGACCCUGGGUCAUCCUGACCCUGUCCAAGCAUGUCCCCCGCUGCCCAACAGGUUUGGACGCCGGGCAGUUUUUGUGGCCUCCCUGGUGCUGACCACAGGCCUGGGGGCCAGUGAGGCCCUGGCUGCCAGCUUCCCUACCCUGCUGGUCCUGCGCCUACUCCAUGGGGGGACAUUGGCAGGGGCCCUCCUCGCCCUGUACCUGGCUCG
rnacentral:sRNA from 1 species